rnacentral:rRNA from 1 species
UACGAAGGUCCCAAGCGUUAUCCGGAUUUAUUGGGGUUUAAAGGGUGCGUAGGCGGAUUAUUAAGUCAGUGGUGAAAGCUCCAUGCCUAACAUGGAAAUUGCCAUUGAUACUGAUGAUCUUGAGUACAUUUGAAGUGGGGCGGAAUGUGUCAUGUAGCGGUGAAAAUGCUUUAGAUAUGACACAGAACACCAUUGCGUAGGCAGCU